GAUGAACGCUGGCGGCGUGCCUAAUACAUGCCAGUCGAGCGAACUUUUGGGAGCUUGCUCCCAAAAGUUAGCGGCGGACGGGUGAGUAACACGUGGGUAACCUGCCUGUAAGACUGGGAUAACUUCGGGAAACCGGAGCUAAUACCGGAUAACAUUGAAGACCACACGGCCUUCAAUUAAAAGGUGGCUUUUAGCUACCACUUACAGAUGGACCCGCGGCGCAUUAGCUAGUUGGUGAGGUAACGGCUCACCAAGGCGACGAUGCGUAGCCGACCUGAGAGGGUGAUCGGCCAACCUGGGAAUGAGACACGGCCCAGAACUCUACGGGAGGCAGCAGGAGGGAAUCGUCCGCAAUGGACGAAAGGCUGACGGAGCAACGCCGCGGGAGCGAAGAAGGCCUUCGGGUCGGAAAGCUCUGUUGUUAGGGAAGAACAAGGAUCGUUCGAAUAGGGCGGUACCUUGACGGUACCUAACCAGAAAGCCACGGCUAACUACGUG
rnacentral:rRNA from 1 species